UACGUAGGGUGCAAGCGUUAAUCGGAAUUACUGGGCGUAAAGCGUGCGCAGGCGGUGAUGUAAGACAGUUGUGAAAUCCCCGGGCUCAACCUGGGAACUGCAUCUGUGACUGCAUCGCUGGAGUGCGGCAGAGGGGGAUGGAAUUCCGCGUGUAGCAGUGAAAUGCGUAGAUAUGCGGAGGAACACCGAUGGCGAAGGCAGCCCCCUGGGUCAAGACUGACGCUCAUGCACGAAAGCGUGGGGAGCAAACAGG
rnacentral:rRNA from 1 species